CGGAGGAUGCAAGCGUUAUCCGGAUUUAUUGGGUUUAAAGGGUGCGUAGGCGGAUUAAUAAGUCAGUGGUGAAAACCUUCAGCUUAACUGGAGACUUGCCAUUGAUACUGUUAGUCUUGAGUAUGGUUAAGGUAGGCGGAAUGUGUAAUGUAGCGGUGAAAUGCUUAGAUAUUACACAGAACACCGAUUGCGAAGGCAGCUUACUGAGCCAUAACUGACGCUGAUGCACGAAAGCGUGGGGAGCGAACAGGA
rnacentral:rRNA from 1 species